UCCUCACAACGUAUGCCUAUCUCCGUCAUGC
rnacentral:piRNA from 1 species